GCCUUGUGCUCGCCUACGGCCAUACCACCCUGAAAGUGCCCGAUAUCGUCUGAUCUCGGAAGCCAAG
rnacentral:rRNA from 1 species